AGAGUUUGAUCCUGGCUCAGAAUCAACGCUGGCGGCGCGCCUAACACAUGCAAGUCGAGCGAGAAAGCGGGGCAACCCGUGAGUACAGCGGCGUACGGGUGAGUAACACGUGGGUGAUCUACCUCCGAGUGGGGAAUAACCCUGGGAAACCGGGGCUAAUACCGCAUAAGCCUGAGAAGGGAAAGCAGCGAUGCGCUGGGAGAGGAGCCCGCAGCCGAUUAGCUAGUUGGAGGGGUAAGAGCCCACCAAGGCGACGAUCGGUAGCCGGCCUGAGAGGGCACACGGCCACACUGGCACUGAAACACGGGCCAGACUCCUACGGGAGGCAGCAGUGGGGAAUCUUGCACAAUGGGGGAAACCCUGAUGCAGCGACGCCGCGUGAGCGAUGAAGCCCUUCGGGGUGUAAAGCUCUUUCGGCAGGGAAGAUAGUGACGGUACCUGCAGAAGCAGCUGCGGCUAACUACGUGCCAGCAGCCGCGGUAAUACGUAGGCAGCAAGCGUUGUUCGGAGUUACUGGGCGUAAAGGGUGCGUAGGCGGCCGAUUAAGUUUGUCGUGAAAUCUCCCGGCUCAACUGGGAGGGUGCGGCGAAUACUGAUGGGCUGGAGUGCGGGAGAGGAGAGUGGAAUUCCUGGUGUAGCGGUGAAAUGCGUAGAUAUCAGGAGGAACACCGGCGGUGUAGACGGCUCUCUGGACCGUAACUGACGCUGAGGCACGAAAGCGUGGGUAGCAAACAGGAUUAGAUACCCUGGUAGUCCACGCCCUAAACGAUGCACAUUUGGUGUGGGCGGUUCAGUCUGUC
rnacentral:rRNA from 1 species